rnacentral:misc_RNA from 1 species
AAGUCGUAACAAGGUUUCCGUAGGUGAACCUGCGGAAGGAUCAUUAAAAAGGUUAAGAAUACCAUGUUCUUAAACCCCAUCUGUGUACUUGUACCCGUUGCUUCCGUGGGCUGCGGGCCAUGUGCCUGCAUCUCUGCCGUCAUGGUGGACCCACGGGAGGUAUUCAUAAACUCUGCCAUUUGGUGAUCUCGGUCUGAAUAUGUUUGAUCAAUGUUAAAACUUUCAACAACGGAUCUCUUGGUUCUC